CGAAGCUCCCUGUUUCUGUAGGUUCACCUGAGGUUUAUCUGGUCUUUCAGGGCUUAAAAGGGAGACAUUCCCAAAGACGAUUCCGUGGGAAGUCUCCUACAAGCCCCGAAGGAAGGGAAUCUCUCUCCUCAUACCUUGAGUUUCCUGAGUACAAUUAUUAUAGAUAUACGAAGAUCUCUGUGCUCAUGGAGAAUUUGUGUCAAGGGAUUUGUACAGCCCUGUAGGAGACACCUCCAGAGAAAGUAACAGCUCUCAAUUGAUUAGCUGAGGAGACCGAUUUUGUAAAUCACUACUUUUCUAACAACACUGGCACAGAUGGCCAAGCAUUCUCCCUUUUCUCAGAGCUGGUUUUCCAUCCCGGAAAGAGGACUUACAUAUACAAAGUUACUCUAAUCAGUUGU
rnacentral:lncRNA from 1 species